AACUCCACGUGAAAGAUUAUUUUUAUAUAAUUUCAUGUACACACAUAUAUAUAAUUUUACCUUUAUUUACAUAUAAAUUAAAAUUAGUUCAUAUUAAAUAUUUGUGUUUAUUUACACAAUAAUGUACAAAAAUAACCCCUUCCAUCUGUUUUUAUUUUUGGUCAUUUCUUUCUUUAUUUAAUUAUAGCCCCCCGGUGUUCCCAUAAUUAUCAAAAAUCCUAUUUUGAUGUCGAGUCCUAGAAAUGUUUCUUUGGGGAUUCAAGUGUUCUUGUUGGCAAAGUCCAGGUUCCCGCGUGAGCGCGCGGACGCUCACGUCCACGUGACGGAUAAUUCCCGAAAGAUAAUUGGCUGCAUUUUCCAGAAGCUUCGGCCCUCUUUCAUGCGCGCGGGGGGGGGCGGGAGGAUCAGAAUCGUGCCUCGCGGGCCCCACUUCCUCCUUGUUGGGGAUUCACUGCUGGUAAGCUAAUGAUGAACAGAGAGACGAAAACUAAUGAGAAAGAGAGAAAGAAAGAAGAAAAACGGGGGGCUGGACUCACGGAGAGAGGAUCGGCGUCAGGAAAAAAAAAAAAAGACAGUCCCGCGGGCGGUGCGUGACCCGUGAAGCGGAACGCCGCGUGACGCAGGUGCAGAGUUCAACACCCGCGUGUCCUCGAGCGAUUCCCGCCCAAGAAAGGGAGGGGAAAAGACAGAGCUGUCUGAACCAUAAAACAACCUGCAAGGCCAAUCGUCACCACUUAAGUUCAGGAUUGCUUGGUUUUCAUGUUUUUGCUGGAGGGCAGAGACAUACUGUAUUUCCUGGUGUUUGCUGGAAAUUCCUCUGCUAAUCAUCAGACGGCUGCUCUGAUUGGACGGCUGAUUCCAUGUGAUUUCAGAAGAGAUUUGAUUUCCCGUUUACAGUUCAGCUGCUCCACUCCACAAGGCAUUGCAGGUUCUGCAGGAUUAGAGGUUUUGCGCCUGAUUUUUACUUUUGAUUUCAUUGUGUACCUUUCUCCUCCUUCCAGUUAUGUCUAUAUUUUUCUUUUUCCCCCUGCCUCAACUCCCCAGCGUUCCCCCUCCUUCGUCUGCAGACUCCUUCUCCUCCUCGGAGGAUCAAACAGCACCAACAAGCGUGAACUUCUCGCUUCUGCUAUACGGAGUGUCAACGCACUGUGCUGAUGAGUUCAUCACAGCGGGGUUUUUUCCCCUGUUUAAAAUGAAAAAAACCAGGAACAUUUUUCAUGUUUGCUUAUUUGUUGCUCUGAAUUUAUGUCCCAGUUUAGCAGACGCUUUCUUUUAUUUUACACCACAUCCACUUUAUCCAACAGAUGUUUGAUCAAAUUCACAACAUACUGACAGUAUGUGGCUCCUGAAAAUGUGUUUAUAUGAAGUGUCAAUGCUUUGAAACCACCAAAUAACUUAAAAUACUUGAAAUACUGAUUACUUGCUGAAAGUAUAAAAAAGUGUAUUUUUUGCCAAAAG